rnacentral:rRNA from 1 species
GAUGAACGCUAGCUACAGGCUUAACACAUGCAAGUCGAGGGGAAACGACAUCGAAAGCUUGCUUUUGAUGGGCGUCGACCGGCGCACGGGUGAGUAACGCGUAUCCAACCUGCCCAUCACUUGGGGAUAACCUUGCGAAAGUAAGACUAAUACCCAAUGAUAUCUCUAGAAGACAUCUGAAAGAGAUUAAAGAUUUAUCGGUGAUGGAUGGGGAUGCGUCUGAUUAGCUUGUUGGCGGGGUAACGGCCCACCAAGGCAACGAUCAGUAGGGGUUCUGAGAGGAAGGUCCCCCACAUUGGAACUGAGGCACGGUCCAAACUCCUACGGGAGGCAGCAGUGAGGAAUAUUGGUCAAUGGGCGAGAGCCUGAACCAGCCAAGUAGCGUGCAGGAAGACGGCCCUAUGGGUGGUAAACUGCUUUUAGAAGGGAAUAAAGUGAGAGUCGUGACUCUUUUUGUAUGUACCUUAUGAAUAAGGACCGGCUAAUUCCGUG